rnacentral:rRNA from 1 species
AGUCGAACGGGAUCGGGGGCUUCGGUCCCCGUGAGAGUGGCGCACGGGUGCGUAACGCGUGAGCAACCUGCCCGUCCCAGGGGGAUAGCCCGGAGAAAUCCGGAUUAAUACCGCAUGAGAAUGCAGGUCCGCAUGGGCCUUCAUUUAAAUAUUCAUAGGGGACGGAUGGGCUCGCGUGACAUUAGCUGGUUGGCGGGGUAACGGCCCACCAAGGCGACGAUGUCUAGGGGCUCUGAGAGGAGAAACCCCCACACUGGUACUGAGACACGGACCAGACUCCUACGGGAGGCAGCAGUAAGGAAUAUUGGUCAAUGGGGGGAACCCUGAACCAGCCAUGCCGCGUGCAGGAAGACGGCCCUACGGGUUGUAAACUGCUUUUGCACGGGAAUAACCCCCGGUAUGUAUACCGGGCUGAAUGUACCGUGAGAAUAAGGAUCGGCUAACUCCGUGCCAGCAGCCGCGGUAAUACGGAGGAUCCGAGCGUUAUCCGGAAUUAUUGGGUUUAAAGGGUGCGUAGGCGGCGCGCUAAGUCAGGGGUGAAAGACGGUGGCUCAACCAUCGCAGUGCCUUUGAUACUGGCGCGCUUGAAUGUACCUGAGGUAGGCGGAAUGUGGCAAGUAGCGGUGAAAUGCAUAGAUAUGCCACAGAACACCGAUUGCGAAGGCAGCUUACCAAAGUACGAUUGACGCUGAGGCACGAAAGCGUGGGGAUCGAACAGGAUUAGAUACCCUGGUAGUCCACGCCCUAAACGAUGAACACUCGAUGUCGGCGAUAGACAGUCGGCGUCCAAGCGAAAGCGUUAAGUGUUCCACCUGGGGAGUACGCCCGCAAGGGUGAAACUCAAAGGAAUUGACGGGGGCCCGCACAAGCGGAGGAGCAUGUGGUUUAAUUCGAUGAUACGCGAGGAACCUUACCCGGGCUUGAAAGUUACUGAAUUGUCCAGAGAUGGACAAGUCCUUCGGGACAGGAAACUAGGUGCUGCAUGGCUGUCGUCAGCUCGUGCCGUGAGGUGUUGGGU